GACGAACGCUGGCGGCGUGCCUAAUACAUGCAAGUAGGACGCAGUUGCGAACGGGUGAGUAACGCGUAGGUAACUGCCUAUAAGAGGGGGAUAAAUAAGGGAAACGAUAGCUAAUACAGCAUACUAGCAGAUGGACCUGCGGUGUAUUAGCUAGUAGGUUGGGUAAUGGCCUACCUAGGCACAGAUACAUACCCGACCCGAGAAGGGUGUGUGCCACACCGGGUGCUGUACAAGGGCCAGACGCCUCCUGGAAGCAGCCGUAUGGACUCUUCGGCAAUGGGGGGAACCCUGACCGAGCCACGCCGCGUGGGUGUAGAAGGUUUUCGGAUCGUAAAGCUCUGUUGUUAAGGAAGCGGUACUUAACCAGAAAGGGACGGCUAACUACGUGCCAGCAGCCGCGGUAAUAC
rnacentral:rRNA from 1 species